rnacentral:rRNA from 1 species
GUUAGGAAUAUUGGACAAUGGGCGCAAGCCUGAUCCAGCCAUGCCGCGUGAGUGAUGAAGGCCUUCGGGUUGUAAAGCUCUUUAGCCGAUGAUUAUAAUGACUGUAGUCGGAAAAUAAGCCCCGGCUAACUUCGUGCCAGCAGCCGCGGUAAUACGAAGGGGGCGAGCGUUAUUCGGAAUCACUGGGCAUAAAGCGUGCGUAGGCGGCUUUGCAAGUUGGGAGUGAAAGCCCAGGGCUCAACCCUGGAAUUGCUCUCAAAACUGCAAGGCUCGAAUUCGGGAGAGGAUAGCGGAAUUGUCAGUGUAGCAGUGAAAUGCGUAGAUAUUGACAGGAACACCAGUGGCGUAAGCGGCUAUCUGGACCGAUAUUGACGCUGAGGCACGAAAGCGUGGGGAUCAAACAGGAUUAGAAACCCCUGUAGUCC